GCAUUCUGGGGUCGUACAUGCCUUUAGGUUGUUUGCUUGGCUUUUUAGCUUUGCGGGUGGCUUUUUGGCAUGGCGGCUUCGGGGAUGUCUACCGUAAAGGUGCAUGAGUGGUGUUUGGUUUGAUACGGGUGGUCGGCUCCCUGCUUGAGCAGGCACGGCCACGCGUGCAUUCCUUUUCAGUUGUGCGGCAAGGCUUGUAUCGUCUUGAUCGUAUAAGUGGGUUUCUUGUGUUGCAUACCUGAUCAAUGGCAUCGUUUUGAUCAAAAUGGUACCUUUUUCGUCUGACGAUGCACUUAUUGCGUUGUCGGAUGAACCGUGUAGCAUCCUCUUUGAUCCAUACAGUUGACGUGUACUCGUUGAUUGUUUGGCCCGUUGAGGGUGACUUGGUCUCUCGGAUAUGGAAGCCAAAGUGGGCAUGGGUUCGCAAGAUCCCUUUAUUGCCCUCAUUGAGCGUUCUCGUUUCUCUUACACGACUGCCUUUCACGUAUGGCACGUCCCAGCGUGUUUGGCUAUGUCGAAGAGGA
rnacentral:misc_RNA from 1 species